GUUUCCAGUCAGUGAAUAUAUUUAUUAUUGUGGUUCCGUACAGCAGAGGGAAGGACAGUAGAGCUGGACGCAUCGUAUUCACACACUUUCACCAGCUCACUUCAGAAGAGAGAGAAGUGAGAAAAAUUUCCAACAGAAGGACUCAAGUGGAACAAUGGGCUUCAAUUGUGGAAUCAUUUCACUGAUCAUCCUGCUGAAUAUUAAGGGUUCUCUGGGUGAAAGUGCUAAAGUGUUCUGCAGUCCUCAGACUAUCUGUGCUCUGCGGGAAUCUGAAGUAGAUCUGGAGUGCUCGUAUUCAAACACCAUCAAACCUCAGCAAAUCUUCUGGUUCAGCUCCAAACUAAAAGCUAAAUGGAGGAAUGAAGAAGAUCCAGAGGAUUUAGCUUUAGAUUCAGACUACGCAGGA
rnacentral:lncRNA from 1 species